GUGGGUGACCUGCCUUAUAGUGGGGGAUAGCCUUUCGAAAGGAAGAUUAAUACCGCAUAAGAUUGUAGUAUCGCAUGAUAUAGCAAUUAAAGGAGCAAUUCGCUAUAAGAUGGACCCGCGUCGCAUUAGCUAGUUGGUGAGGUAAUGGCUCACCAAGGCGACGAUGCGUAGCCGACCUGAGAGGGUGAACGGCCACAUUGGGACUGAGACACGGCCCAGACUCCUACGGGAGGCAGCAUG
rnacentral:rRNA from 1 species